rnacentral:misc_RNA from 1 species
GAUGAAGAAGUAGCGAAAUGCGAUAAGUAAUGUGAAUUGCAGAAUUCAGUGAAUCAUCGAAUCUUUGAACGCACAUUGCGCCCCCUGGUAUUCCGGGGGGCAUGCCUGUCCGAGCGUCAUUACAACCCUCAAGCUCAGCUUGGUGUUGGGCCCCGCCGCCCCGGCGGGCCCUAAAGUCAGUGGCGGUGCCGUCCGGCUCCGAGCGUAGUAAUUCUUCUCGCUCUGGAGGUCCGGUCGUGUGCUCGCCAGCAACCCCCAAUUUUUUUCAGGUUGACCUCGGAUCAGGUAGGGAUACCCGCUGAACUUAAGCAUAUCAAUAAGCGGAGGA